CCAUAACAAAAAAAAAAAAAAACAACAAAAAAAAAAAAAAAAUUUCCAUUUCUUUGAUCAAAAUGAACUCAAAACAACCUUACAAAUCUGAAUCUGACCUCCCAGUCCCACCACUCCCCACCCUUCCCUGCCUCCACUCCCCUACCACCCCGAAUUCCACCUCCAACCGCCGUGUCGCCAUAGCCGUGGACCUUUCCGACGAGAGUGCAUAUGCAGUCAAAUGGGCAGUCGAGAACUACCUCCGACCAGGCGACGCCGUGAUCCUCCUCCACGUCCGGCCAACUUCCGUCCUCUAUGGCGCUGAUUGGGGGUCAAUUCAACUCCAAAUCAAUAACAACAACACGCCUUUUGAGCUAAGUGGCUCAAACAGUCCUGAUAAUCGAGAAAGGCAGAAACUUGAGGAUGAUUUUGAUAGUUUUACUAAUAACAAAACCAAUUUGUUGGCUAAACCUUUGUUGGAGGCUAAUGUUCCUUUCAAGAUUCAUGUAGUGAAAGAUCAUGACAUGAAGGAGAGGCUCUGUUUGGAAGUUGAGAGAUUGGGGUUAAGUGCAGUGAUAAUGGGAAGUAGAGGUUUUGGUGCUACAAGAAAGAAGGGGAUUAGUAAAGGAAGAAGUGUUGGUGGUGGGAGGUUAGGGAGUGUUAGUGAUCAUUGUGUGCAGCAUUGUGUUUGCCCUGUUGUUGUUGUUAGGUGUAGUGAUGAUGGUAAAGAAGAAGAGAGUGUGAAAACAGGUGGUGUUGGUGACGGGGUUGAAGAGGGUCUCCAUCCUGUGCCUGAGGAGGAUCAAGAGGAGUGUGUUGAUGAUGAGCUGAAAGAUGCUUAGAAAGUGCUCAGUGCAAUUGCAAGCCCCCUCUUGAAUACAGGUGACAAUUAAUUGCAGCUAACAAUUUAAGGCCCCAAAAUAGUUGAAGGCUGUGAACUGUCAAGAAUUACUCUCUGUCUGGUUUCUUUAGAAUUCCUUGUCAACUGGCUUGUUUUCAGAUGCGAUGUAUUGGUAGUUACAUAUCUUCACCCAGUUUCUCUGAGAAUGUUAAUAGGUUUUUAGCAUUCCAAUGUCUUGUGAGAACUGGCUUUUAGAGUUGUACAAAUUUAAAAGUUGCACACUCUGGUUUCUGGACAUCUUUUGCAUCCCUUCUUUUCUUUGUAUGUGUAAAAAGUGUGCACCUUGCAUGAUGAUGUAUAAUACACUUUCAUGGCCUUCAGGGAAUCAGGCCAUGGCCUUGCCCAUGUUAUUUCUUCAUUGGCUCCU